rnacentral:lncRNA from 10 species
GCAGGAAGAGGUGGUGAUCUGAACUGCAGGGAGCGGACGCUUGACUACUGUGAGGACUCCUGACCCUGCCAUGUUGUCACCGGGAAAAUGAAGAAUGAGCUAAGCCAGAGCAGCGGGACUGGAGGAAACAGCCUUACAUAGAGGAAGAGAAAAAUCAGGCCAGGAUACUGGGAGUGAAGGUGGGGAAGCGGAGGGAAGAGGGGACCCUAGCGUCUUUGCAGCUCAGCUCAGUGGCACUAAGCAAGAUGCCUGCCAUGAGCCAGAUGCAGGACAGGAGCUGGGUAGGUGGGAGGCAUAGUCCAUGGAAAGUCAUCUCACUGCAAAGCCAAAGAAGUGGUUCUGAGGCCCACUCAGAAGAGGUCUCCAUUUUCCCAGGAACUAAAGUCUAGAAGGAGAGAGCUCAGGGCAGCCUGGAGGCCGCAAGUGCAUGGAGCAGGUGCCACAGCCUCAAGGACUGGGCAUAAGGCCUGGAAGUCAAGGACACAGAGAGGGCCCCAAAAGGCACCUUUUCUGAAUUAAAGCUGCACUGAGCUAAGGAGUAGCAUAGGGCAGUGGCCUCCUCAAUGGUUUGUCCCCCAUCCCCUGGCCAUGGGGACAGCUCAGGGACAGCCUGAUCACAUACUGGACCAAAGCUACUGGAGGUGGCAGAGGCAUUUGCCUGGAGUGAGGAGCAGGUGGAGGAAGGGAGAGCUCUGACCCAACAUAUAGAUGCUGGCAGCAAGGAAGGCCUGACGUUUGCCUCUCAUGGGUGGCGGCCAACAUCUGUCUUUCUGUUUCCCCAAAGCAAGAGGCUUCCACCACAUGCUUUUACUAAGGAUGGCUCUGUUUACAAGUGGUAGAGCCGAGUCCCAGUGAUGUCUGUGGUCAAACGAUGCAUCUGUCUGUGCAUGUGAAUAUUCCAGUAUAUGCUCGGUCAAACGAUGCAUCCGUCCCUGUAUGUGGAUAUUCUAGUGUAUGCUGUAACCAAGAAAGUCUGUUUCCUGUCCAGCUCUCCAGAUCUCAACGGAACAUCCCCUUUCUCUGACUCUCAGCUCCCGGGCAUAGAUGCAUCUUGUGCUGGCUGAGCCAUGUAACUCCAAGUACGAUUUAUUUUAAGAGAAAAUUGCCCACCUUUUAGAGUAAAUAAACUUAAGAGCAGAACCCAGCAACUUCAUUUCCACUUCCUAGUGUAGCAACUGAAGAGUGAGCUUCUUUCAGCUUCAAUUGCUCUUCUCAGAAAGUUUUUAUUUGGCUUAAUAGAAGAAAGCACAGUUUCUAGACCAAAGAGGAAGAAAAUAAGACAAGGCAAGGCAAAUAUGAAUAAAUGACCCAGGCUAAAUGCCAGUUCCUUGCAAAGAAUUUCAUUUAAGCUUCACUGAAUUGAAAAGGCUCAACCAGACUCAACAUUUCCAACUUCCUAGCAAGCAGCAGAAAAUCUACCUGACAGUUGCUAUGGAGACACGAACAGGAAGAGUGAACCACCAGCCUAUAAAUCCACAGAGAAACCUUUCUUAAUUGGAAGGCCUUUAACCCACACAUUUUUCUCAUAGCUGCAGAGCUUAUUUCUAAAGAGAUUAUUAAAUUCCUCAAUUGACUUAUGAAGGAUGCUUCCCACUAUAUUACUGUGCUUUGGGUUGCGAUUUUUUAUAUCUGUUUCCAAAAUUACAAAACAGACCAGGGAUAAUAAAAGUUAACACAGAUGUUUCAAUGAAAAAUCCAUAUGAUGUUCCGAAAAUAACUUCAGCGGCAACGCUGAACAAAAAGGAUUCCAAUACAAGAACCAAGAUGGUGUAGACCUGUUUGUUUCAAAGCUGUAUCUAAGUCACCAAACUUCUUCACUCCCCCUGAUUUUGACAUAUUAAUGCAGGUGGAAAAUCCUGACAAUAUUUCCUAAUGUUUAAGAAGGCUGACCAAGCCAGAAAUAUGAAUAAGUGAGGUGUUGGGAUAUGUUAAUUUUAUGCUCACCCUUGAUUUUUUAAAAUGUUCUUUGCUAUUUGUUAGCAAAUACUAACUAGUAUGUGGCUGGCUGAACAAGAAGCAAACACAGCUAAACAGCUCAGUGAAUCUCAAUUACAUUGGGGUAGUUUUGGUUAACUAAUCCAUUCUAGUAAGCCCUCACUUAAUGUUGUCUAUAGGUUUCUGAAAACUGCAACUCUAAAUGAAACUGUGUAGAGUGAAACUAAUUUUUCCAUAGACUAAUUGAUAUAAACAAGUUACGGUUCUGUGGCAUAUUUCUGGCCACGAAAACAACACCAAACGUCCAUACAAAGACCAAAACCCUUCUAACAUUAAACAUUAAGCUAAAUGUGAGCUAACUCAUAUUUUUUAAAGAUUCAUAAAAACAAGUCAGAGAAUUAUUUACCCAUUUAUUACAGUUCAGAGUCAACCUGAACAGGACCCCAUCCCACUGCAGGGCUCACUCACACACACACCCAUACUCACACAGAUAGGGACAGUUUAGACACAUCAAUUCACCUAACAUGCAUAUCUUGGCGACGUGGGAGCAAACUGGAGUCCCCAGAGAAAACCCACAU